rnacentral:rRNA from 1 species
CCUACGGGAGGCUGCAGUGGGGAAUAUUGCACAAUGGGGGAAACCCUGAUGCAGCGACGCCGCGUGAGUGAAGAAGUAACUCGUUAUGUAAAGCUCUAUCAGUAGGGAAGAAAAGCACGGUACCUGAGUAAGAAGCCCCGGCUAACUACGUGACAGCAGCCGCGGUAAUACGUAGGGGGCAAGCGUUAUCCGGAUUUACUGGGUGGAAAGGGAGCGUAGGCGGCAGUGCAAGUCUGGAGGGAAAGGCGGGGGCUCAACCCCCGGACUGCUCUGGAAACUGGACGGCUGGAGUGCAGGAGAGGUAAGUGGAAUUCCUGGUGUAGCGGUGAAAUGCGUAGAUAUUAGGAGGAACACCAGUGGCGAAGGCGGCUUACUGGACUGUAACUGACGUUGAGGCUCGAAAGCGUGGGGAGCAAACAGGAUUAGAUACCCGGGUAGUC